rnacentral:tRNA from 1 species
GGAACUGGCCGCGGCCUACGCGGCAAGGCCAAAUUUGCAAUUUGGCUCGAUCAGCACCUCCCUG